GACAGUUGGCCCUGCCCCUUGCCAGCUGUGAUUCGAGGGCAAGCUAGCUGGGGCAGUACUAGACAGCUCGACAGGGUGGUACUGGUGCAGGAGAGCUGGUGGGCUGACCGACUCAGCUACCAACCAGGCCCAGAUUCAGGGCUUUGAGUCAGCCCACCCCAACAUCUACCCCAUCUAUGAACUGCUGGGUGGUGUGAAAAGCCCAGUCCUACAGAUCCAAAGCUGCAGGAUCUCCAUGACACAGGGCAAUAAUAACAGGGUGACUAGGGGGAGUCUCCAUGAAGAUCUAGUACUGAUGAUGUAGCAGAAGCCAGAUGCCUCCGACCAGAGCAGUGACUCCUUGCAAUGAACACUUGGGACUAAAAACUGACAUCAUUCCUCCUGGGAAGACACUUCCUGCUCUGAGCUUCUUCAGGCCAUUGGAAUGGUUAUAUUAUUUUUAUUGUGAAUUUUUAUUUGGCUUAGUUUGAGGCAGAGUCUCGUGGACUAGCCCUGAACUGCUGAUCCCCCUGCCUCGACCUCCCCUCCUGAGAGCUUGGAUUAUAAGCAUCUGUCACCA
ensembl:lincRNA 4930527A07Rik RIKEN cDNA 4930527A07 gene